ACGGGAGGCAGCAGUGGGGAAUAUUGCGCAAUGGGGGAAACCCUGACGCAGCAACGCCGCGUGAAGGAAGAAGGUCUUCGGAUUGUAAACUUUUGUCUUCAAGGAAGAUAAUGACAGUACUUGGGGAGGAAGCUCCGGCUAACUACGUGCCAGCAGCCGCGGUAAUACGUAGGGAGCAGGCGUUGUCCGGAAUUACUGGGUGUAAAGGGUGCGUAGGCGGGUAUGCAAGUCAUAUGUGAAAUACCGGGGCUUAACUCCGGAGCUGCAUAAGAAACUGUAUAUCUUGAGUGCAGGAGAGGUAAGCGGAAUUCCUAGUGUAGCGGCGAAAUGCGUAGAUAUUAGGAGGAACACCAGUGGCGAAAGCGGCUUACUGGACUGUAACUGACGCUGAGGCACGAAAGCGUGGGGAGCAAACAGGAUUAGAUACCCUGGUA
rnacentral:rRNA from 1 species